UCUUAGUGGCGGACGGGUGAGUAACGCGUGGGUAACCUGCCUUAUACAGGGGGAUAACACUUAGAAAUAGGUGCUAAUACCGCAUAAGCGCACGGGGCUGCAUGGCCCAGUGUGAAAAACUCCGGUGGUAUAAGAUGGACCCGCGUCUGAUUAGCUUGUUGGCGGGGUAACGGCCCACCAAGGCGACGAUCAGUAGCUGGCCUGAGAGGGUGGACGGCCACAUUGGGACUGAGACACGGCCCAAACUCCUACGGAAGGCAGCAG
rnacentral:rRNA from 1 species